ensembl:snRNA U6 U6 spliceosomal RNA
GUGCUCACUUCACCAGCACAUACACUAAAUCUGGACCCACACAAAGAACAUUAGCAUGAGCCCUGCACAAGGGUGACAAACAAAUUCAUGAAACAUUCUAUAACAUUUUUUU